rnacentral:rRNA from 1 species
AUUGAACGCUGGCGGCAGGCCUAACACAUGCAAGUCGAGCGGAUGAGGGACGCUUGCUUCCCGAUUUAGCGGCGGACGGGUGAGUAAUGCCUAGGAAUCUGCCUAUUAGUGGGGGAUAACGUUCCGAAAGGAACGCUAAUACCGCAUACGUCCUGCGGGAGAAAGUGGGGGAUCUUGGGACCUCACGCUAAUAGAUGAGCCUAGGUAGGAUUAGCUAGUUGGUGAGGUAACGGCUCACCAAGGCGACGAUCCGUAGCUGGUCUGAGAGGAUGAUCAGCCACACUGGAACUGAGACACGGUCCAGACUCCUACGGGAGGCAGCAGUGGGGAAUAUUGGACAAUGGGCGAAAGCCUGAUCCAGCCAUGCCGCGUGUGUGAAGAAGGUCUUCGGAUUGUAAAGCACUUUAAGUUGGGAGGAAGGGUUGUAAGCUAAUAUCUUGCAGCUUUGACGUUACCAACAGAAUAAGCACCGGCUAACUCUGUGCCAGCCGCCGCUGUAAUAC